rnacentral:misc_RNA from 1 species
CGAAACGGACGCUCAAGCGUCGACCUCGACUUCCUGUGAGUGAAGAAGGCUUGCCUUCGGCGCCGUCGGCGCCGGGAACCCAUGCCGAACUGCCCAUGAGUCUGAGACGAAACAAGGUUUA